AUAAUAACACAUUUAAUUCUUUAUACUAGUGUAUAAAGAAUAAUACAAAAGCUAGCCAAGUCUAAGAACAAGCCAUGGAAAGUCCCAGAAGAUGAGAGAACUCAGAAAGCAUCUUGAGAAGGUAAAUCUCCAGAGCACAGAGCCACCUACCUGACAUCAAGGAGGCCCAGUAACUGACAAACACUCAUUUGCAUUCAUUCCCAUAUCCUGAUCUGAGAUCCCAACCUCCGGAUUCACGAAACGAAAAGAAAAUAAUUAGCACAAUCUACUGCAGUUGUGUUUGAGAUUAAUAUGCUGCCUGGAACCUGCAUAGGAAAAUGUAAUUGCAUUUGAAACCACAACGUGAAAGAAAGGGAUUGAAGCCAGACACCCCAAGUGUGGGAAGAGAAGCUCGAUCUCCAGGACCAACCAGAGGUGGAGGGGGUCAGCAGGUGCAUGGGGUUCCUGGGGGAGAUUUCCACCAAGCGAAGGUUAAUAAGGGUGGGCAGGGGGCCUGGUGGACAGAUUGCUCUGGAAGCCCUUCUAAGCUCACAGGAGCUGGGGCAGGCGGGGAGAGGGGACCAGAGACCAUGCCCAUGCCCACAAGAGGGACUUCAGUUCUGUGCAAAUGAAAUCAGGGCAACAAAAUGGGUUGAAAUUGCAUUUCUCAUCAUGUAUUGUUCAUCCUCCUGUCCUCAUGAGAUGCCUUAGGAACAGAGGGCUUCAGGGUCAAAUCACUUUGGGAAGAAACAUAUGGAAGUCACAGGGCUCAUCAGCCUGGCGAAGGAAGACUCCGAAAGAAACCAAAGUCUGGUCUUAUUCAUCCAAGACCGCCAGUUCCACCAUGUUGACCACAGAGCCUGUCGCUUUUUAUGGCUACUCACCUCCUGGGGCAUCGCCUUGAGCAGAACUCCUGGGCGGGUGCUCCUGGAUUAAACCAGGGACAAGGAGGCCCCUGUAGAGGAAGGGUAGCUUGUUUAAAGGGUGAGAUGGUCACAUACAGCCCUCACAAGGCUCCAUCUAACUCCCUCCCUUCCUGGGGCAAGAACACGUCCAAGAUGCUGGGGUUCAUUCAUUCAGGUACUAAUCCACCCCUUAGUAUCUGUUCCAGGUGUCAGGCACUGUUCUAAGCACUGGCUAUGUCUGGGCACGAAACAGACCAAAGUCCCCACCAUGGAGGGACUUCAGUUCUGGGGCAGACACUGGUCCUCUCUUCCUUCCACAGCCCUGGAGUGCUUGGGGACCCACCCCAUCCUUGUGGCCAUCGCUGGUGGGGCCAUGAAGGGACACCUGAUCUAGGACAAUUAUUCAGAAGCCAAGUGGGGCCAAUCAGCUUCAGGACAUAGACCUUGAAGCUGGGCAGCCCAGGUUCAAACCCCAACCUGCCCACUCAUGAGCUGAGCGAUCCUGGCAAGUUGCUCCAUCACUCUGAGCUUCUAUUCCUUUCCUUUCACAUUUUUUUUAAUACUAAAAAACCUUGUUUGGUAGGGUUAUUUUGAGAAUUAAAUCAGAAGGCCCACAUGAAGCCCUUAGACCAGGGCCCAGCACACAAUUGGGAUGCGUGUGUUUGCAGUUGGGUAUUUGCUGGUGGUGACAAUCAUUCUUGCUCCCAGGUAUGAAGAAACAGGUUCAUGGGCUGGGCCUGGGGGUCCCGUUAAGUUUGAAAACAAAGGCUGCCCUCUGGGGAUCUGAAGAAUGGUCAGGGAGGAGGGGCUGACCUGCAAAGAAUCAGAAAAAAACAGAGCAGAAGGGCUGAGAGAGGUGGACCCCAAUGCAGGGAGACGGCGGGCAUCUGGUGUCUGACAGUUUGCCUUGAGCUUGGUGGCCCCCUGGUCCUCAUGUCCCCUGUUGUUUCCCAGCUUCCUACUAAUUCCAGUUACCUUGAUGGGGUUUUCUCUUCCUAAGAAACAAGCCACCCCUGACCAAGGCGCGGUGUCGGCAAACCCAAGCAGAAGAAAAGCUGUUCGUGGAGUUCCUGUUGUGGCUCAGUGGUAUAAUGAACCCAACUAGUAUCCAUGAGGAUGCGGGUUUGAUCCCUGGCCUUGCUCAGUGGGUUAAGGAUCCAGUGUUGCCGUGAGUGGUGGUGUAGGUCGCAGACAAGGCUCAGAUCCCGCAUUGCUGUGGCUCUGGUGGAGGCUGGCAGCUGUAACUCCGAUUUGACCCCUAGCCUGGGAACUUCCAGCUGAGCAAAGGACCCAAGUUCCAGCUAAGUGGGAACCACUGAUCAAGGGUGUACAGUGGGGAGUAGGUUAAAAGCUUGGGUAUAGAGGUUGGGAGAAGGCCAAGGUCAAAGUGGCCUGCAAGGGCUGGUUGACAGCUGCCAGGAGGGCCAGGAGGAGGCAAGCCCUGACUUCAGAUCCCAAACCAUCCUUGAUGGGAAACUGAGUCCAGGGAAGCAAGUGUCCCUGACCCUCAAGCCUGUGUCUCCAGUAGACCCUGGAAUUCAGGCUCCAGACUUUGUUUUGGUGCCAAGGCCUGGAGCACACUUGUCCUGCUGAAAAGCAGAAGAGCGUUCAUCUUCUCUCUCUCUCUCAUUCUCUUUCCUCUAUGUGUGUACAUAUAAACACACACAGAUGUAAAAAUAGGAUUCUAGUAUAUAUCCAGUUUUUGUCACCCACCUUUUUUUCUCCUUAAAAAUGUUGUGGGGAGUUCCCGUCGUGGCUCAGUGGUUAACGAAUCCCACUAGGAAUGAUGAUGAUGUGGGUUCGAUCCCUGGCCUCUCUCAGUGGGUUAAGGAUCUGGCAUUGCCAUGAGCUGUGGUGUAGGUCGCAGACGCAGCUCGGAUCUGCUGGGGCUGUGGUGUAGGCUGGCAGCUACAGCUCCGAUUAGACCCCCAGCCUGGGAACCUCCAUAUGUCACAGGUGCAGCUCUAAAAANACCCAAAAAAAAAAAAA
rnacentral:lncRNA from 1 species